rnacentral:rRNA from 1 species
GAUGAACGCUGGCGGCGUGCUUAACACAUGCAAGUCGAACGGUGAAGCCAAGCUUGCUUGGUGGAUCAGUGGCGAACGGGUGAGUAACACGUGAGCAACCUGCCCUGGACUCUGGGAUAAGCGCUGGAAACGGCGUCUAAUACUGGAUAUGGGCUCUCAUCGCAUGGUGGGGGUUGGAAAGAUUUUUCGGUCUGGGAUGGGCUCGCGGCCUAUCAGCUUGUUGGUGAGGUAAUGGCUCACCAAGGCGUCGACGGGUAGCCGGCCUGAGAGGGUGACCGGCCACACUGGGACUGAGACACGGCCCAGACUCCUACGGGAGGCAGCAGUGGGGAAUAUUGCACAAUGGGCGGAAGCCUGAUGCAGCAACGCCGCGUGAGGGAUGGCGGCCUUCGGGUUGUAAACCUCUUUUAGCAGGGAAGAAGCGAGAGUGACGGUACCUGCAGAAAAAGCGCCGGCUAACUACGUGCCAGCAGCCGCGGUAAUACGUAGGGCGCAAGCGUUAUCCGGAAUUAUUGGGCGUAAAGAGCUCGUAGGCGGUUUGUCGCGUCUGCUGUGAAAUCCCGAGGCUCAACCUCGGGCCUGCAGUGGGUACGGGCAGACUAGAGUGCGGUAGGGGAGAUUGGAAUUCCUGGUGUAGCGGUGGAAUGCGCAGAUAUCAGGAGGAACACCGACGGCGAAGGCAGAUCUCUGGGCCGUAACUGACGCUGAGGAGCGAAAGGGUGGGGAGCAAACAGGCUUAGAUACCCUGGUAGUCCACCCCGUAAACGUUGGGAACUAGUUGUGGGGACCAUUCCACGGUUUCCGUGACGCAGCUAACGCAUUAAGUUCCCCGCCUGGGGAGUACGGCCGCAAGGCUAAAACUCAAAGGAAUUGACGGGGACCCGCACAAGCGGCGGAGCAUGCGGAUUAAUUCGAUGCAACGCGAAGAACCUUACCAAGGCUUGACAUACACCAGAACACCGUAGAAAUACGGGACUCUUUGGACACUGGUAAACAGGUGGUGCAUGGUUGUCGUCAGCUCGUGUCGUGAGAUGUUGGGUUAAGUCCCGCAACGAGCGCAACCCUCGUUCUAUGUUGCCAGCACGUAAUGGUGGGAACUCAUGGGAUACUGCCGGGGUCAACUCGGAGGAAGGUGGGGAUGACGUCAAAUCAUCAUGCCCCUUAUGUCUUGGGCUUCACGCAUGCUACAAUGGCCGGUACAAAGGGCUGCAAUACCGUGAGGUGGAGCGAAUCCCAAAAAGCCGGUCCCAGUUCGGAUUGAGGUCUGCAACUCGACCUCAUGAAGUCGGAGUCGCUAGUAAUCGCAGAUCAGCAACGCUGCGGUGAAUACGUUCCCGGGUC